AACGAACGCUGGCGGCAGGCCUAACACAUGCAAGUCGAGCGCGCCCUUCGGGGUGAGCGGCGGACGGGUGAGUAACGCGUGGGAACGUGCCCUUUUCUACGGAAUAGCCUCGGGAAACUGAGAGUAAUACCGUAUACGCCCUUUGGGGGAAAGAUUUAUCGGAAAAGGAUCGGCCCGCGUUGGAUUAGGUAGUUGGUGGGGUAAUGGCCUACCAAGCCGACGAUCCAUAGCUGGUUUGAGAGGAUGAUCAGCCACACUGGGACUGAGACACGGCCCAGACUCCUACGGGAGGCAGCAGUCGGGAAUCUUAGACAAUGGGGGCAACCCUGAUCUAGCCAUGCCGCGUGAGUGAUGAAGGCCUUAGGGUUGUAAAGCUCUUUCAGCUGGGAAGAUAAUGACGGUACCAGCAGAAGAAGCCCCGGCUAACUCCGUG
rnacentral:rRNA from 1 species